rnacentral:rRNA from 1 species
UACGUAGGGUGCAAGCGUUAAUCGGAAUUACUGGGCGUAAAGCGUGCGCAGGCGGUUUUGUAAGUCUGUCGUGAAAGCCCCGGGCUCAACCUGGGAAUUGCGAUGGAGACUGCAAGGCUUGAAUCUGGCAGAGGGGGGUAGAAGUUCCACGUGUAGCAGUGAAAUGCGUAGAGAUGUGGAGGAACACCGAUGGCGAAGGCAGCCCCCUGGGUCAAGAUUGACGCUCAUGCACGAAAGCGUGGGGAGCAAACAGG